CUCGUAGGCGGUUCGGUAAGUCGGGUGUGAAAACUCUGGGCUCAACCCAGAGAGGCCACCCGAUACUGCUGUGACUAGAGUGCGGUAGGGGAGCGGGGAAUUCAUGGUGUAGCGGUGAAAUGCGCAGAUAUCAUGAGGAACACCAGUGGCGAAGGCGCCGCUCUGGGCCGUAACUGACGCUGAGGAGCGAAAGCAUGGGUAGCAAACAGGAUUAGAUACCCUGGUAGUCC
rnacentral:rRNA from 1 species